UCCUACGGGAGGCAGCAGUGAGGAAUAUUGGACAAUGGGUGAAAGCCUGAUCCAGCCAUCCCGCGUGCAGGAAGACGGCCCUAUGGGUUGUAAACUGCUUUUAUCUGGGGAUAAACCUACUUACGUGUAAGUAGCUGAAGGUACCAGAAGAAUAAGCACCGGCUAACUCCGUGCCAGCAGCCGCGGUAAU
rnacentral:rRNA from 1 species